GAUGAACGCUGGCGGCGUGCCUAAUACAUGCAAAUCGAGCGAACAGAUAAGGAGCUUGCUCCUUUGACGUUAGCGGCGGACGGGUGAGUAACACGUGGGUAACCUACCUAUAAGACUGGGAUAACUUCGGGAAACCGGAGCUAAUACCGGAUAACAUUUGGAACCGCAUGGUUCUAAAGUGAAAGAUGGUUUUGCUAUCACUUAUAGAUGGACCCGCGCCGUAUUAGCUAGUUGGUAAGGUAACGGCUUACCAAGGCAACGAUACGUAGCCGACCUGAGAGGGGGUUCGGCCACACUGGAACUGAGACACGGUCCAGACUCCUACGGGAGGCAGCAGUAGGGAAUCUUCCGCAAUGGGCGGAAGCCUGACGGAGCAGCGCCGCGUGAGUGAUGAAGGGUUUCGGCUCGUAAAACUCUGUUAUUAGGGAAGAACAAACGUGUAAGUAACUGUGCACGUCUUGACGGUACCUAAUCAGAAAGCCACGGCUAACUACGUG
rnacentral:rRNA from 1 species